ACGAACGCUGGCGGCGUGGAUAAGACAUGCAAGUCGAACGGGAGAAUUGCUAGCUUGCUAAUAAUUCUCUAGUGGCGCACGGGUGAGUAACACGUGAGUAACCUGCCUCUUAGUGGGGGAUAGCCCUGGGAAACCGGGAUUAAUACCGCAUACGAUUGAAAGAUCAAAGCAGCAAUGCGCUAGGAGAUGGGCUCGCGGCCUAUUAGUUAGUUGGUGAGGUAACGGCUCACCAAGGCGAUGACGGGUAGCCGGUCUGAGAGGAUGUCCGGCCACACUGGAACUGAGACACGGUCCAGACACCUACGGGUGGCAGCAGUCGAGAAUCAUUCACAAUGGGGGCAACCCUGAUGGUGCGACGCCGCGUGGGGGAAUGAAGGUCUUCGGAUUGUAAACCCCUGUCAUGUGGGAGGAAAUUAAAAAGAUAGUACCGCAAGAGGAAGAGACGGCUAGCGCUGGGCCAGCAGCCGCGGUAAUACGGAGGGCUCAAGCGUUGUUCGAAGUCACUGGGCGUAAAGCGUGCGUAGGCUGUUUCGUAAGUCGUGUGUGAAAGGCAGGGGCUCAACCCCUGGAUUGCACAUGAUACUGCGAGACUAGAGUAAUGGAGGGGGAACCGGAAUUCUCGGUGUAGCAGUGAAAUGCGUAGAUAUCGAGAGGAACACUCGUGGCGAAGGCGGGUUCCUGGACAUUAACUGACGCUGAGGCACGAAGGCCAGGGGAGCGAAAGGGAUUAGAUACCCCUGUAGUCCUGGCAGUAAACGGUGCACGCUUGGUGUGCGGGGAAUCGACCCCCUGCGUGCCGGAGCUAACGCGUUAAGCGUGCCGCCUGGGGAGUACGGUCGCAAGAUUAAAACUCAAAGAAAUUGACGGGGACCCGCACAAGCGGUGGAGUAUGUGGCUUAAUUCGAUGCAACGCGAAGAACCUUACCUGGGCUUGACAUGUAAUGAACAACAUGUGAAAGCAUGCGACUCUUCGGAGGCGUUACACAGGUGCUGCAUGGCCGUCGUCAGCUCGUGUCGUGAGAUGUUUGGUUAAGUCCAGCAACGAGCGCAACCCCUGUUGCCAGUUACCAUCGAGUAAUGUCGGGGACUCUGGCGAGACUGCCCAGAUCAACUGGGAGGAAGGUGGGGACGACGUCAGGUCAGUAUGGCCCUUAUGCCCAGGGCUGCACACGUACUACAAUGCCCAGUACAGAGGGGGCCGAAGCCGCGAGGCGGAGGAAAUCCUGAAAACUGGGCCCAGUUCGGACUGUAGGCUGCAACCCGCCUACACGAAGCCGGAAUCGCUAGUAAUGGCGCAUCAGCUACGGCGCCGUGAAUACGUUCCCGGGUCUUGUACACACCGCCCGUCACAUCAUGGAAGCCGGUCGCACCCGAAGUAUCUGAAGCCAACCGCAAGGAGGCAGGGUCCUAAGGUGAGACUGGUAACUGGGAUG
rnacentral:rRNA from 1 species